rnacentral:rRNA from 1 species
GGCUCAGAACGAACGCUGGCGGCGCGCUUAACACAUGCAAGUCGAACGGCAACGGGUCCUUCGGGAUGCCGGCGAGUGGCGAACGGGUGAGUAACGCGUGGAUACCUGCCCUAUGGUGGGGAAUAACGUCUAGAAAUGGACGCUAAUACCGCAUAAGCCCUAUGGGGGAAAGAUUUAUUGCCAUGGGAGGGGUCCGCGUCGGAUUAGCUAGUUGGUGGGGUAACGGCCUACCAAGGCGACGAUCCGUAGCUGGUCUGAGAGGAUGAUCAGCCACACUGGGACUGAGACACGGCCCAGACUCCUACGGGAGGCAGCAGUGGGGAAUAUUGCGCAAUGGGGGAAACCCUGACGCAGCGACGCCGCGUGGGUGAAGAAGGCCUUAGGGUUGUAAAGCCCUUUCAGUGGGAAAGAUGAUGACGGUACCCACAGAAGAAGCUCCGGCUAACUCCGUGCCAGCAGCCGCGGUAAUACGGAGGGGGCUAGCGUUGUUCGGAAUUACUGGGCGUAAAGGGCGCGUAGGCGGUUGAUCAAGUCAGGAGUGAAAGCCUCGUGCUCAACGCGGGAACUGCUUCUGAAACUGGUCGACUAGAGUACGGUAGA